GAGCCGUCAGCAGGCUUUGAUCCAGGGAUUUCCGAAUGGGGCAACCCGUUCCGAAUUAAAUGUCGGAACAUCCUGAGCUGAAUACAUAGGUUCAGGCAGCGAACUAGGAGAACUGAAACAUCUCAGUAACCUAAGGAAAAGAAAAAGAAAUUGAUUCCCUCAGUAGCGGCGAGCGAAAGGGGAAGAGCCUAAACCAAACAUAUGUUAAAGUUUGUGCGCGUUGUGUGUUUGGGGUUGAGGGGCUUGAGUGGGAGGAUGCACAAAUCUUCCGGAGAGUCAAAAACUUACAUUUUAGACGAACUGUCCUGGAAUGGCAGGCCAUAGAAGGUGACAGCCCUGUAAGCGAAAAAAUGUAAGCUCUCUUGCUUGAGUUCCCAAGUACCACGGGACACGAGAAACCCUGUGGGAAGCUAUCCCGACCACGGGAUAAGGCUAAAUACUAAUUGGCGACCGAUAGUGAACAAGUACCGCGAGGGAAAGGUGAAAAGCACCCCAGUGAGGGGAGUGAAAUAGUAUCUGAAACCAUAUACUUACAAACAGUGGGAGUUCCGAGCAAUCGGAAUGACCUCGUACCUUUUGUAUAAUGAGCCGGCGAGUUAUUCUUUGUUGCAAGGUUAAUUCACCAGAGGUGAAGGAGCCGAAGCGAAAGCGAGUCUUAAAUGGGCGAUCUAAGUAACAUGGAAUAGACCCGAAACCAAGUGAGCUACCCAUGGCCAGGGUGAAACCUCGAUAAAACGGGGUGGAGGCCCGAACCUUUGCACCUUAAAAAGUGUCUGGAUGAGCUGUGGGUAGGGGUGAAAGGCCAAUCAAACUUGGAAAUAGCUGGUACUCCCCGAAAUAUUUUUAGGAAUAGCCUUAUAAAUUAAGUGAUGGCGGUAGAGCACUGGAUGGACUAGGGGCCCUACCAGGUUACCAAACCCAACCAAACUCCGAAUGCCAUCAACUUCUAUUAUAAGAGUCAGACUGUGGGGGAUAAGCUUCAUAGUCGAGAGGGAAACAGCCCAGACCAUCAGCUAAGGUCCCAAAAUACAAGCUAAGUGGGAAAGGUUGUGGGAAUGCUUAGACAGCCAGGAGGUUGGCUUAGAAGCAGCCAUCCUUUAAAGAAAGCGUAACAGCUCACUGGUCAAGUGAGCCUGCGCCGAAAAUCCAACGGGGCUCAAGCUUGUUACCGAAGCUAUGGAACGUCAGGUUGUGAACAGAGUUCGCAACCUUUCUAAUGAAAAUUGUAAAUUGUAAAAUGAAAAUUUGUAUUUUUAAAUUUGCAAUUUGAAAUUAGUUGUGAGCUGUGUUCACAAUCUGGCGUUGGUAGGGGAGCAUUCUAUAUCAGACACACGUUCGUUUGCGAAAGCGGAUAUCGGGAUAUAGAAGAGAUAAUGCCGGCAUAAGUAGCGAUAAUGGCGGUGAGAAACCGCCACGCCGAAAACCUAAGGUUUCCUGGGGAAGGUUAAUCCACUCAGGGUUAGUCGGUACCUAAGCCGAGGCUGAAAAGCGUAGGCGAUGGAGAACAGGUUAAUAUUCCUGUACCACCGGAAAAGCGUUUGAGCAAUGGGGGGACGCGGUAGGAUAUACUUGCUUCGUGAUGGAAUACGAAGUUCAUCUAUGUAGGAGGACGUCUUUGGCAAAUCCGGGAUGUCUUUAACUCUGAGGUAGGUGGGGGCGCCCGCAAGGGCCGUAAGUAGUAAACUCCAAGCUGCCAAGAAAAACCUCUAGCGAGCUUUUCAGGUGACCGUACCAUAAACCGACACAGGUGGGUGAGGAGAAUAUCCUAAGGCGCUCGAGAGAACCCUAGUUAAGGAACUCGGCAAAUUAACUCCGUAACUUCGGAAGAAGGAGUGUCUUGAAGGGUGAAGUGAUUUACUCAUGGAGCCUUUUAAGAUCGCAGCGAAAUGGCCCAGGCGACUGUUUAUCAAAAACACAGGUCUCUGCUAAGUCGUAAGACGAUGUAUAGGGACUGACGCCUGCCCGGUGCUGGAAGGUUAAGGGGUGGGGUCAUCCCCACGCAAGUGGGGGGAAGCUCUUAACCGAAGCCCCAGUAAACGGCGGCCGUAACUAUAACGGUCCUAAGGUAGCGAAAUUCCUUGUCGGGUAAGUUCCGACCUGCACGAAUGGCGUAACGAUCUGGGCACUGUCUCAACUAGGGACUCGGCGAAAUUGUAGUACCGGUGAAAAUGCCGGUUACCCGUGGCAAGACGGAAAGACCCCGUGCACCUUUACUACAACUUGACAAUGAAUCUUGGAACACUAUGUGUAGGAUAGGUGGGAGACUAUGAAGUUCCGGCGCUAGUCGGAGCGGAGUCGUCCUUGAAAUACCACCCUUAUUUUUCCGGGAUUCUAAUCCUAUCCCUUGAAUCAGGGAGGGAGACAUUGUCUGGUGGGUAGUUUGACUGGGGCGGUCGCCUCCCAAAAUGUAACGGAGGCGCCCGAAGGUUCCCUCAGGCUGAUUGGAAACCAGCCGUGGAGUGUAAAGGCAUAAGGGAGCUUGACUGCGAGACCUACAAGUCGAGCAGGUGCGAAAGCAGGGCUUAGUGAUCCGGCGGUUCUGCGUGGAAGGGCCGUCGCUCAACGGAUAAAAGGUACGCCGGGGAUAACAGGCUUAUCGCCUCCAAGAGUUCACAUCGACGAGGCGGUUUGGCACCUCGAUGUCGGCUCGUCGCAUCCUGGAGCUGAAGCAGGUUCCAAGGGUCGGGCUGUUCGCCCGUUAAAGCGGUACGCGAGCUGGGUUCAGAACGUCGUGAGACAGUUCGGUCCCUAUCUGCCAUGGGCGCAGGAUAUUUGAGGAGAUCUGUCCCUAGUACGAGAGGACCGGGAUGGACGAACCUCUGGUUCACCAGUUGUCACGCCAGUGGCAUAGCUGGGUAGCUAUGUUCGGAAUGGAUAACCGCUGAAAGCAUCUAAGCGGGAAGCCAACUCCAAGAUUAGAUAUCCCUUUCUGAUGGUGACAUCAGAUCAGUAGACUCCCUGAAGAUGACAGGGUUGAUAGGCUGGAUGUGUAAGUCCUGUAAGGGAUUUAGCUAACCAGUACUAAUAAGUCGUGAGGCUUGACCACCUUUUU
rnacentral:rRNA from 1 species